rfam:Dictyocaulus viviparus strain HannoverDv2000 D_viviparus-1.0_Cont260.27, whole genome shotgun sequence.
GUCAUUCUGGGCCGAGUGGUCUAAGGCGCUGCGUUCUCUUUGGAGGGCGCAGGUUCGAAUCCUGCGAAUGACA